AAAGUAGUAGGUUAAUCGAAACCGUCACUGUUCAAUAGUGGAGCUAAACGUAUGUUUCUACUUUU
rnacentral:tRNA from 1 species